rnacentral:rRNA from 1 species
GACGAACGCUGGCGGCGUGCCUAAUACAUGCAAGUAGGACGCAGUUGCGAACGGGGGAGUAACGCGUAGGUAACUGCCUACUAGAGGGGGAGAACUCUUGGAAACGAUAGCUAAUACCGCAUACUAGUAGAUGGAUCUGCGUUGUAUUAGCUAGUAGGUUGGGUAAUGGCCUACCUAGGCGACGAUACAUAGCCGACCCGGGGGGGGGAUCGGCCAACCUGGGAAGGAGACACGCCCCAGAUCCUUCCGGGGGCAACCAUAGGGAAUCUUCGGGCAUUGGGGGAAACCUUACCGGACAAAGGCGGGGGAGUGGAGAAGGUUUUCGGGUCGUAAAGAUCUGUUGUUAAGGAAGCGGUACUUAACCAGAAAGGGACGGCUAACUACGUGCCAGCAGCCGCGGUAAUUC